GACGAACGCUGGCGGCGUGCCUAACACAUGCAAGUCGAGCGGGGAUUUAAGUGGAAGUUCUUCGGAAUGGAGAUUUAAAUUCUAGCGGCGGACGGGUGAGUAACGCGUGAACAAUCUGUCCCGGACAGGGGGAUAACACUUGGAAACAGGUGCUAAUACCGCAUAAGACCACGGCCUCGCAUGGGGCUGAGGUAAAAGGAGCAAUCCGGUUCGGGGUGAGUUCGCGUCCGAUUAGCUAGUUGGUGAGGUAACGGCCCACCAAGGCGACGAUCGGUAGCCGGCCUGAGAGGGUGAACGGCCACAUUGGAACUGAGAGACGGUCCAAACUCCUACGGGAGGCAGCAGUGGGGAAUAUUGGGCAAUGGGCGGAAGCCUGACACAGCAACGCCGCGUGAGGGAAGAAGGUUUUCGGAGUGUAAACCUCUGUCCUAUGGGACGAAGGAAGUGACGGUACCAUAGGAGGAAGCCCCGGCUAACUACGUG
rnacentral:rRNA from 1 species